CGUCGAGGGAUAUAUUAAUAUUUCUUAUUUCAUUAAUUACGUCCAAGUCUUGCGUGAAUAGUUCUUUUUUUUCACUAAAAUGUGCAGUAUCAGGGUAGCAAUUCAGUUAAAAAGAAUGAUAGAAAACAGACCUUGAGAUGGGCGUAAAUUUCACAUUCUGUAGUUCAUUGAACUGCCCUUCAAAUGGACAAGGGGAUAAAACGAGAUUGAUUUAUAUCAAGUGUCGGUAUUAAGAUACAGCUAUAUCAAGAUUUCCAUCUGAUAUUCUGUAAGAGAAGGCCAACGUUCUCUUUUGAUGAUCUCGUUCGAUCCAUCAAUUGAUAUCUGUAAAUUGUAUUCGACUCUUAUGAUGCAUAAAAUUUGGUUCAAGAUCUUAUACUGAGGCUACCGUUGGAUGUGUUUUUUCCCUUUGAAUGUGAAAACCGGUUGCGUGAGAGCUGCUUUUUAUUGUGUAUAGCUAUAAUAUAUUAAGACACGCCAUUAAGUCAUUCUUUUUCUGAUUUCUGAAUCUUAGGAGAAUCAAGAAAGAUGGCGUGAUAAGAAUAUAUUUUCAAACAAAUAAUAUUCUGAGCAUGGAAGUUAAUGGAUGAAAUUCAAACGUCUUUUGAUAAUGAUUUUUAUUAACGAUUCAUGGAAAUUUUAGCAAUGAUUAGAUAUUAUUAUAAUAUUGGAAAAAAAAAGGAAAUACUAUCUUAUUUAAAGCAACUAAUACAUCGAUUGAAGAAUCAAUAAUUGACACCAGGGCCAGUGUCCCGCUACAAGGUCGUAUAUUCCCUCAUGGUCGCCACAGUGUCUACAUAUACUAUGAUGGAUGCAUAUAUUAGAGUUCCAGUAGAAGUAUCAAAAAAGAAACGUUCAAACGAUUUGGAAAGUUUACUGAAAGUAUAAUGAUGAUUUUGAAAUGAUCUUCAAAUGAUCUCCAAGCGAUUUUUAUAGCUUCAAAUGAUCUUGAAGAGUAACUUAAGAUAGGUCAGGUAAGAUCGUCUUACGUUAAUAAGUUAAGUUAAAUAAACCUCGGAUGAGCAAUUUUAUUAUAAAUUUUUGAAUGAAAGGAGCAAUAAAAACUCGCAAUUUAUAAAACGUACUAAUAUAAUAUUUAUUGUUUGCAAUAAACAGCGUAAUAUAAUAUCACCUCUGGCACAAUCUCACGAUGGCAAGACAACGCGAAAACGGUAUUAUAUUUCGAUAUUCUCGCAUCAUUUUUAUCUGAUUCCGCAACUUGUCCGGCUUCAAGAAGAUUCUUCUCUAACAAAACAGUACAGUACGCGCGCAAAUCAGCCCGAAAUCGGCCGGUUUCAACAUCCCUCCUCUUACACGGCUACAUUUCUAACAAAAUAAAGGCGAAGCCUGUUGAUUCGUUUUUCGUUUCGCAUCGCCGUUUACGGUCGCUUUAAGUACGAUAGAUCGAGACGGCUGGGAAACGAUCACGAGAAGACCACAACACUCGCUUGCUAUGCUAUGCUAUGCGAUAUAUUUCUAAUAACGCGUUAACGCGAAAAGGGAAAGGAGAGGAGAGAGAAAAAAAAAAAGAAAAAAAAAAGAAACAGAAAAAAAUGAUUGAUUUCAACGAUCAAUCUUCUCUAAUCUACUCUAAUGUUUAUUCACCGGUCUUCUCUAAUCGCGAUUGAGGUCUCCUCGUGACUGUGACACGGCUGCCUUUCAAAAAUAUAUCAUUAAUUAAUAAUAUUAAUAAACGUAAAGGAUUAUAAGAGGAUGAUACGAUAGCAGAUAAAAAUCGUUCAUCGGCAAAAAUCGUUUCUCCACAAUGCACACACGAUGAAUCUCUGAACACGAGAUCUACAUCUGUAUAUAACGAAGAAAAUAUAUAUAGUUAAUAGGCGAUCGAAAUGGGUUCUCAGGGGUGUCGUAGUUCAUUAUGAGAUGUUGAGAAGUUGUUUGAUGAAGUUUGGAAGUUGGGCUAAGGAGAAAAAUAUCGAUUACGAGUAAAAAAAAAAAAAAAAAAAAAAAAAAAAAAAGAGAAAA